rnacentral:rRNA from 1 species
CCUACGGGGGGCUGCAGUGGGGAAUAUUGCACAAUGGGGGAAACCCUGAUGCAGCAACGCCGCGUGAGCGAUGAAGGCCUUCGGGUCGUAAAGCUCUGUCCUAAGGGAAGAAUACUGACGGUACCUUAGGAGGAAGCCCCGGCUAACUACGUGCCAGCAGCCGCGGUAAUACGUAGGGGGCUAGCGUUAUCCGGAAUUACUGGGCGUAAAGGGUGCGUAGGCGGCCCUUCAAGUCAGAGGUGAAAGGCUACGGCUCAACCGUAGUAAGGCUUUGAAACUGUAGGGCUUGGGUGCAGGAGAGGAGAGUGGAAUUUCCAGGGUAGGGGUUGAAUGGGUUGAUAAUGGGAGGAAACACAGUUGCGAAGGGGGGUUUUUUGGCUGUAACCGACGGCGGGGGCACAAAGGGUGGGGAGCGAACAGGAUUAGAUACCCGUGUAGUC